rnacentral:lncRNA from 1 species
GGUUCCUUCGAUGGAAUUCCAUCUCGCUUCGGUGCGCGCAUAAAUUACUGCUUUCAAAUGCAAAAGUAUGAAUAAGUCCCGCAUAGGAAUUGGAUUACAUAGGUAGAGAUGCAAGGGUGCAGACGAAGGCUGCCGAGAGGGUGGAGAAUGGGAACGAGAGAAACACGGCGAUAAGGGACGACGAAGCGUUCCAAGUACCGGUGAGCGACUUGCUCGUGAAACCGGUAGGACGAGGAGGACUAGAGGGA